AUACGUAGGGGGCGAGCGUUGUCCGGAAUGAUUGGGCGUAAAGGGCGCGUAGGCGGCUUUGCAAGUCAGUAGUGGAAGUCCAUUUUUCAAGGAUGGAAGUGCUACAGAAACUGCGGAGCUUGAGUGCAGGAGAGGUUAUCGGAAUUACCGGUGUAGCGGUGACAUGCGUAGAGAUCGGGAGGAACACCAGUGGCGAAGGCGGGUAACUGGACUGCAACUGACGCUGAGGCGCGAAAGUGUGGGGAGCAAACAGGAUUAGAUACCCUGGUAGUCCACACUGUAAACGAUGAAUGCUAGGUGUAGGAGGUAUCGACCCCUUCUGUGCCGCAGUAAACACAGUAAGCAUUCCGCCUGGGGAGUACGGUCGCAAGAUUAAAACUCAAAUGAAUUGACGGGG
rnacentral:rRNA from 1 species